GAUGAACGCUAGCGGCAGGCUUAACACAUGCAAGUCGAGGGGUAGAGGAAGCUUGCUUCCUUGAGACCGGCGCACGGGUGCGUAACGCGUAUACAAUCUACCUUUUACAGAGGGAUAGCCCCAGAGAAAUUUGGAUUAAUACCUCAUAGUAUUUUCGGAUCGCAUGAUUUGAUUAUUAAAGUUCCAACGGUAAAGAUGAGUAUGCGUCCCAUUAGCUAGAUGGUAAGGUAACGGCUUACCAUGGCAAUGAUGGGUAGGGGUCCUGAGAGGGAGAUCCCCCACACUGGUACUGAGACACGGACCAGACUCCUACGGGAGGCAGCAGUGAGGAAUAUUGGAC
rnacentral:rRNA from 1 species